rnacentral:rRNA from 1 species
CCCUUAGAUGUUCUGGGCCGCACGCGCGCUACACUGAUGCAAUCAGCAAGUUCUUUACCUUGGCCGAAAGGUCUGGGUAAUCUUGUGAAAUUGUAUCGUGUUAGGGCUUAAGAAUUGUAACUAUUUCUUAUAAACGAGGAAUUCCUAGUAAUCGCAAGUCAGCAGCUUGCAAUGAUUACGUCCCUGCCCUUUGUACACACCGCCCGUCGCUCCUACCGAUUGAAUGAUCCGAUGAAUAUCAUGGAUUGAGGAUGCAAGUAGGUUAGCCUAUCUUCAUCUUCGAGAAGUGAAGUAAAUCCUAUCAUUUAGAGGAAGGAGAAGUCGUAACA